GCAACUUCGGAACGGUCGCCGCAGAGAUUUCCCUGCUUCUUUCCUGUGAUGAAAGAGAAGAAAUUCUUCAGGUUUGGGAAGAAGUGGAAGGAGCAGCCGUCCCCGUCUCGCCCGGGGGCUUCUCUCUCGCCCUCCUCCCCGCGUGUCGCCUCCGAGGAUGGCGGGUACCAGCUGCGGAUCAAGGAGCUCGGCAAGUUGCACCGGGCGGCGGCCGGCGGGGACCUGAAGAAGCUGCAGCAGCUGCUCAAGAAGCACGACCUGAACCAGCUGGAUGAAGCCAACAGGUGGGGAGGAAGGCUGGCGCAGCACGCAAGUGUCGUGUUCAGACGAGGUGUGUUGAUACAUGCCGAACUGAGGGAAGAAUGAAGGCUGGCCAACGUAUAGACGUUACUACUGCCCUGGUGGGUGUAGGACCAGCCUGGAUACACGAAGAUCGUGAGACUUCUGAAGUCUGCAGGUACAAGGAUGUUACCAAAAAUUCUUCAAGAUGACAUAACCUAUGAUAAAUUCAUAACUGCUGAUGGACGGAGCCAAAUGGGCAUUUCCAGCAUCUAUAUCCCGUUUCAUAAUGGCACUUUAUCAAAGAUUCACAAAAUUUUAUUUAUUUAUUUAUUACAUUUCUAACCCACACUUCUUGCAAGCAGGCUCAGGGUGAGGUACAGCAGUUAUAAAAUACAA